rnacentral:pre_miRNA from 1 species
UAGCCAAGGAUGACUUGCCUGCUCCUGCUCCUGCUCAUACUAGGGUUGCUGGUAUACAAGUGCAGCCCUUGAGUGUAGGUUUCAGGCAGUCACCUUGGCUAA